rnacentral:rRNA from 1 species
UACAGGGGGUGCAAACGUUGCUCGGAAUCAUUGGGCGUAAAGCGCACGUAGGCGGUCUGUUAUGUCGGAUGUGAAAGCCCUUGGCUCAACUGAGGAAGUGCAUCCGAAACUGGCAGGCUAGAGUACGAAAGAGGAUCGCGGAAUUCCCGGUGUAGAGGUGAAAUUUGUAGAUAUCGGGAGGAACACCGGUGGCGAAGGCGGAUCUCUGGGCCGUAACUGACGCUGAGGAGCGAAAGCAUGGGGAGCGAACAGG